AUAUCAAUAAGCGGAGGAAAAGAAACUAACAAGGAUUCCCCUAGUAACUGCGAGUGAAGCGGGAAAAGCUCAAAUUUAAAAUCUGGUCGUCCUUGCUGGCCGUCCGAGUUGUAAUCUAGAGAAGCGUUAUCCGCGCUUGGACCGUGUACAAGUCUCCUGGAAUGGAGCGUCAUAGAGGGUGAGAAUCCCGUCUUUGACACGGACUAGCCAGGGCUUUGUGAUGCGCUCUCGAAAGAGUCGAGUUGUUUGGGAAUGCAGCUCUAAAAUGGGUGGUAAAUUCCAUCUAAAGCUAAAUAUUGGCGAGAGACCGAUAGCGAACAAGUACCGUGAGGGAAAGAUGAAAAGCACUUUGGAAAGAGAGUUAAACAGUAC
rnacentral:rRNA from 1 species